ensembl:lncRNA
GAUUGCAGGCAGAUUCUUCACCAUCGGAUCCACCAGGGAAUCCCAUCUCACACUGAACAGCAUCUCAGUUCAGACUUCCUGCAUUUCAAAUGCUCAAAAGACUCAUGUGACUAGUAGCUACCAUUAAUGGGCAGUGUAGCUCUAAGCAGCGGCUCAUUUCUUCCAAGACGCACAACCGAGCAAUGACAGAAGGAACGAGAACAGCUGCAAGCACUGAGACUCUGUCAAGAAAGCCUCUUUCUUCUUUAGGUUAUCCAAGACCCACGCACUGCAACCAGAUGCAUGCCGUCCUGAGCCCAAACCCUCGACUUCUCUCCCAUCUCGGACUUUCAAAUUCUUAAAUUUGCCCUUUACUUAAAAAAGUCAAUGAUUUCACCAAGAAAGUUUGAUUAGUUUCUUUUACUUUCUGUAAUGAAGUGCCAUCCUUUUUACACUUGAAAGGAUCUUUGUAAUAAUGCAACAUUGAUCUUUUGAAUAC